rnacentral:rRNA from 1 species
GAAUUCACUAGUGAUUACUCCUACGGGAGGCAGCAGUUAGGAAUCUUCGUCAAUGGGCGAAAGCCUGAACGAGCGACGCCGCUUGAGGGAUGAAGCCCUUCGGGGUGUAAACCUCUGAACAGGGGACGAUGAUGACGGUACCCUGGUAAUAGCACCGGCUAACUCCGUGCCAGCAGCCGCGGUAAUACGGAGGGUGCGAGCGUUACCCGGAUUUACUGGGCGUAAAGGGCGUGUAGGCGGUUUUCUCAGUCCGGGGCUAAAGUCCAGGGCUCAACCCUGGGUUUGCCCCGGAUACUGGAAAGCUGGACGGCUGGAGGGGGCAGCGGAAUUUCCGGAGUAGCGGUGAAAUGCGCAGAUACCGGAAGGAACGCCGAUAGCGAAGGCAGCUGCCUGGACAGUGCGUGACGCUGAGGCGCGAAAGCGUGGGGAGCAAACCGGAUUAGAUACCCGGGUAGUCCACGCCCUAAACGAUGAGUGCUGGGUGUUCGGCGUUUGCCGGGUACCGAAGCUAACGCGUUAAGCACUCCGCCUGGGAAGUACGGUCGCAAGACUGAAACUUAAAUGAAUUGACGGAAUCGAAUUCCCGCGGCC